AACUUGACGCUGCAAGUGAAAAUCUGACGCUGUUUUGGGACUUGACGCUGACGCUCUACCUUUAUGAAAUGGGCCCCUGGUCGUUUGCGAUUGAAGAGUACUAUUGGGGCAAGGAUAGCUUCUGCCAACUUUGCCCAUGCACUACCAACUUCAGACUCAUCUGCAGAAAUUAAUACCUUCUCUCUCUGUUGCAUUUCCAUCUGCAGGUACUUGGAAAGCUUCACCACAUCUUCCGUUAGUGGAAGGAGUUAGGGGUUAUUGCAUUUGACUUUAAGCAAAGUGCGCAGAGCAUGGUGGCUACUAAGUUUUCAAUCAGAAUUUUCUUUGAACUCGAUCCAGAUAUCUGUUCUUUUUUAUUCCCUUCAAGUAGAAUUUUUCUACUUCCAAUUCAGGAGCAUUUCUACAAUGUUAGUAAACCAUACAUAGGGUCCAAUACAACAUUGCUCGAAGGAACUUGUACAAGUGAUCUUAAAAUUUCCUGUCGAUUUUGACUUCUCUAUCCGUUCUCAUUCCAUUCACUGCCACCUCUUUUUUUCAUCUUCCUUCAUGUAAGCAUGAUGCAGGUUCCAGCCGCUUUCUGAUGUUGGUCUUAAUAUUCCAGAGUCAUCUAGAAUCUUUAUCAAGAUCAUCUCAUCAACACACAAGUAUAUAUUCGGUGGAUCACAGAAGUUUUCCAACGAUUUGCAAAGGUUGAUAGAUGAUAAGUUCUCUUCUAGAUUAUCACGAGAAUCACUCUCAUGGAAAAUUGUAAAUGGAUAUAGGUGAUUUGGGCUUUGGAACAAGAUAUCUUGCAGAUAAAGGUCAUUAUCCAAAAUUGAGAGAACCAUGAAUGUUCUUUGGUGGCUGCCAAUCUCUCUCCCAUCCUCCCAAAGUCUGACAGAUAAUUUGCUUGUUAAAAAGGGAUUAUUUAUAUGUCAACAUUUCUAAUAAGCGACAUGGAUUAAUGAACCAUCUGGUACCGGUACGUGGAUUGAGGAUAGCGCCAAAACUUAACAAUUCUGCCUUGCUUCCUUUUCUUUUGAAUAACUAGGCAGUAUCCCAGGAAUUUUCUUCCGAAAUUGGUUUAGGAGCCGCGAACCACUAUAAUUAUUCUUAUUCAAAGAGAUCUGUUCGGGGCGACCACUUUUGUCAAAAUGAAUCUGAAAGUUUCCCUAGCGCACACCUCUGUUUAUAUUGGUCGCUAAGUUUGCAAUCAGAAUUUUCUUUGAACUCGAUUCAGAUUUCUUUAUCUUUAUCAAGAUCAUCUCAUCAACACACAAGUAUAUCUCCGAUGGAUCACAGAAGUUUUCCAACGAUUUGCAAAGGUUGAUGGAUGAUAAGUUCUCUUCUACAUUAUCACGAGAAUCACUCUUAUAGAAUAUUGAAGUGGAUAUAGGUGAUUUGGGCUUUGGAACAAGAUAUCAUGCAGAUAAAGAUCAUUAUUCAGCAUUGAGAGAACCAUGAAUGUGCUUUGGGGGCCGCCAAUCUCCCAUCCUCCCAAAUUCUGACAGAUAAUUUACUUGUGAUAAAGGGAUAAAGGGAUUAUUUACAUGUCAGCAUUUCUAAUAAGCGACAUGGAUUAAUGAACCAUCCGGUAGUGCUAUGACGUGGAUUGAGGAUAGCGCCAAAACUUUUAACAUAAUUCUGCCUUUCUUCAUUUUCUUUUGAAUAACUAGGCAGUAUCCCAGGGAUUUUCUUCCGAAAUUGGUUUAGGAGCCGCAAACCACGAUAAUUAUCCUUAUUCAAAGAGAUCUGUUUGGGCGACCACUUUUUUCAAAAUGAAUCUGAAAGUUUGCACACUUCUGUUGUUUAUAUUGGUCGCUAAGUUUGCAAUCAGAAUUUUCUUUGAACUCCAUUCAGAUUUCUGUACUUCUUUGUUGCCUUCAUAUAUAUUUUUUUCUACUGAUUUGGGCUUUGGAACAAGAUAUCUUGCAGAUAAAGGUCAUUAUCCAAAAUUGAGAGAACCAUGAAUGUUCUUUGGUGGCUGCCAAUCUCUCUCCCAUCCUCCCAAAGUCUGACAGAUAAUUUGCUUGUUAGAAAGGGUAUUAAUAUGUCAACAUUUCUAAUAAGCGACAUGGAUUAAUGAACCAUCCGGUAGCACUACGACUUGAAUUGAGGAUAACACCAAAACUUUUAACAUAAUUCUGCCUUGCUUCCUUUUCUUUUGAAUAACUAGGCAGUAUCCCAGGGAUUUUCUUCUGAAAUUGGUUUAGGGGCCGCGAACCACUAUAAUUAUCCUUAUUCAAAGAGAUCUGUUCGGGGCGACCACUUUUGUCAAAAUGAAUCUGAAAGUUUCCCUAGCGCACACCUCUGUUUAUAUUGGUCGCUAAGUUUGCAAUCAGAAUUUUCUUUGAACUCGAUUCAGAUUUAUUUAUCUUUAUCAAGAUCAUCUCAUCAACGCACAAGUGUAUCUCCGAUGGAUCACAGUAGUUUUCCAACGAUUUGUGCAAAGGUUGAUAGAUGAUAAGUUCUCUUCUAGAUUAUCAUGAGAAUCACUCUCAUAGAAAAUUGAAAAUGGAUAUAGGUGAUUUGGGCUUUGGAACAAGAUAUCUUGCAGAUUAAAGAUCAUUAUUAAAAAUUAAGAGAACCAUGAAUGUUCUUUGGUGGCUGCCAAUCUCUCUCCCAUCCUCCCAAAUACUGACAGAUAAUUUGAUUUUUUAAAAAAUGAAUCUGAAAGUUUCCCCGUUGCAAACCUCUGUUUAUAUUGGUCGCUAAGUUUGCAAUCAGAAUUUUCUUUGAACUCCAUUCAGAUUUCUGUUCUUUAUUCCCGUCAGAUAGAAUUUUUUCUACUUCCAGUUUCAGGAGCUUUUCUACAAUGUUAGUAAAACCAGGCAUAGGGUCAAAUGCAACAUUACUCGAAGGAACUUGUACAAGUGAUUCAGGAAAUUUCCUAUAGAUUUUGACUUCUCUAUCCAUUCUCAUUCCAGUCGCUGCAUCUUUUUUGUAUCUUCUUUCAUGCAAGCAUGAUACAGGUUCCAGCCGCUUUCUAAUGUUGGUCUUAAUAUUCCAGAGUCAUCUAGAAUCUUUAUCAAGAUCAUCUCAUCAACACACAAGUAUAUAUUUGGUGGAUCACAGAAGUUUUCCAAUGAUUUGCAAAGGUUGAUGGAUGAUAAGUUCUCUUCUAGAUUAUCACGAGAAUCACUCUCAUAGAAAAUUGUAAAUGGAUAUAGGUGAUUUGGGCUUUGGAACAAGAUAUCUUGCAGAUAAAGGUCAUUAUCCAAAAUUGAGAGAACCAUGAAUGUUCUUUGGUGGCUGCCAAUCUCUCUCCCAUCCUCCCAAAGUCUGACAGAUAAUUUGCUUAUUAGAAAGGGUAUUAAUAUGUCAACAUUUCUAAUAAGCGACAUGGAUUAAUGAACCAUCCAGUAGCACUACGACGUGAAUUGAGGAUAGCACCAAAACUUUUAACAUAAUUCUGCCUUGCUUCCUUUCCUUUUGAAUAACUAGGCAGUAUCCCAGGGAUUUUCUUCUGAAAUUGGUUUAGGGACAGCGAACCUCUAUAAUUAUCCUUAUUCAAAGAGAUCUGUUCAGGGCUACCACUUUUGUCAUAAUGAAUCUGAAAGUUUCCCCGUUGCAAACCUCUGUUUAUAUUGGUCGCUAAGUUUGCAAUCAGAAUUUUCUUUGAACUCCAUUCAGAUUUCUGUUCUUUAUUCCCGUCAGAUAGAAUUUUUUCUACUUCCAGUUUCAGGAGCUUUUCUACAAUGUUAGUAAAACCAGGCAUAGGGUCAAAUGCAACAUUACUCGAAGGAACUUGUACAAGUGAUUCAGGAAAUUUCCUAUAGAUUUUGACUUCUCUAUCCGUUCUCAUUCCACUCGAAGGAACUUGUACAAGUGAUUCAGGAAAUUUCCUAUAAAUUUUUACUUCUCUAUCCGUUCUCUUUCUCAUUCCAGUCGCUGCCUCUUUUUUGUAUCUUCCUUCAUGCAAGCAUGAUACAGGUUCCAGCCGCUUUCUGAUGUUGGGCCUAAUAUUCCAGAGUCAUCUAGAAUCUCUAUCAAGAUCAUCUCAUCAGGACACAAGUAUAUCUCUGAUGGAUCACAGAAGUUUUCUAAUGAGUCACAAAGGUUGAUAGAUGAUAAGUUCUCUUCUAGAUUAUCACAAGAAUCACUCUCAUAGAAAAUUGAAAAUGGAUAUAGGUGAUUUGGGCUUUGGAACAAGAUAUCUUGCAGAUAAAGGUCAUUAUCCAAAAUUGAGAGAACCAUGAAUGUUCUUUGGUGGCUGCCAAUCUCUCUCCCAUCCUCCCAAAGUCUGACAGAUAAUUUGCUUGUUAGAAAGGGAUUAUUUAUAUGUCAACAUUUCUAAUAAGCGACAUGGAUUAAUGAACCAUCCGGUAGCGGUAUGACAUGGAUUGAGGAUAGCACCAAAACUUUUAACAUAAUUCUGCCUUGCUUCCUUUUCUUUUGAAUAACUAGGCAGUAUCCCAGGGAUUUUCUUCUGAAAUUGGUUUAGGGACUGCGAACCUCUAUAAUUAUCCUUAUUCAAAGAGAUCUGUUCGGGGCUACCACUUUUGUCAAAAUGAAUCUGAAAGUUCCCCGUCGCAUACCUCUGUUGUUUAUAUUGGUCGCCAAGUUUGCAAUCAGAAUUUUCUUUGAACUCGAUUCAGAUUUCUGUUCUUCAUUAUUCCCUUCAGAUAGAAUUUUUUCUACUUCCAGUUUCAGGAGCUUUUCUACAAUGUUAGUAAAACCAGGCAUAGGGUCAAAUACAACAUUACUCAAAGGAACUUGUAUAAGUGAUUCAGGAAAUUUCCUGUCGAUUUUGACUUCUCUAUCUGUUCUCAUUCCAUUCGCUGCCACCUCUUUUUUAAUCUUCCUUCAUGCAAGCAUGAUACAGGUUCCAGUCAAUUUCUGAUGUUGGGCCUAGUAUUCCAGAGCACUCUAGAAUCAAGAUCAUCUCAUCAACACACAAGUAUAUCUCUGAUGGAUCACAGUAGUUUUCCAACGAUUUGCAAAGGUUGAUAGAUGAUUUUCUUGGCAAAGGGGAUGGUCUGAAUAAACCAGGCGGUGGACCAUUGUCCCACUUAGAAUAAAAUUUUUCAAGCUCUUGUUGUGGGGGAACAUUCAUACCCAGUUUCUGGCUAGUACAUUGAUCACCACUUCUACUUGCCAUGCUUGCUGAGUUGUUAGAAUUAGUUGAUCGCUUUUGACAAAGAGGAGUACAUGUACCCCAUCGUGUUUAUCAUCAACCAAUGAUUGCUUGUCAUUGAGCUUCAAGCUUUAAGAGCUUUGUAAGACGAAGGAUUUCCUGCCAAAGUAUUAUCCUCUCUUCAAUUACAUCCUGACAGAACCUACUAUACGGGAUUUCAUAGAUUUGUUUGAAUGGCAAAUUAUUUUCUACCCUUGGUUUCACUACUUUACAGUAUGACAAAUAACAAGAUCUGUGAUAACGUACUUCAAAAGCCACAAGAUCCUUUUCCCUGAUUUGGAGGAGCAUAUGCUCAUCUUCACGAAUUUCAGCUGCUUUUAAAAGCUAUCCCCUGUAAGAGUUUCACUUCUAACAAGCCUUUCUACUUUCCUUUUGCGAGAAUAACUUUCUCGUACAUACUUAUUGUUCUUACAAAUGAUACACUCAACAGGUAGCACAUGAGGCCUCCCUCGACAUGAACUUUUCCUUGCAUCAGACCUGAAGAGACGUUUUGGCUCUGCUUCCGUCCUGUCUGAUGUCCCCUGAUGAUUUUCUGGUACAACGUCUUCAUCU